rnacentral:misc_RNA from 1 species
AACGCACAUUGCGCCCCCUGGCCAUUCCGGGGGGCAUGCCUGUUCGAGCGUCAUUUAUACCAAUCUAGCCUGGCUAGGUGUUGGGCUCCGCCGUCUGGCGGGCCUUAAAACUAGUGGCGGUGCCCUUCGGCUCUACGCGUAGUAAUUUUCUCGCUAUAGGGUCCGGAGGGAUGCUGGCCAGCAACCCCAAAUUUUUCUAGGUUGACCUCGGAUCAGGUAGGGAUACCCGCUGAACUUAA